CAGGCUCCCUUGCCCACCAAAUUCUGGAAGAGUUUAGACCCAGCCUCUCUGGAGUGCUCACCUGGGCCUGAGUGAGAAGAGGCUGAAGCCAGCUGAGGACCGCAGUCUGUUUUCUCCUGCCAGGCCUGCAUGUGACGAUGCUCCUACUGGUUUCAGCCCGGCCUAUCUGCACGGAUGUCCCAGGCAGGCAUUCCAAGCCGCGACUCAUGUCCUACUGACACCUGUUGCUGUCGCCUUUUUCAUGUUCAUCCUGGUAAUUAGCAAGAAGGUUGAGUUCAACAGAGGGCAAACAGGAGGGGCAGCCAGGAGAAGUCCUAGAACCUUGAACAUGGAUGCACUCACAUGUCAAGCAUGGUGCAACACCUAACCCGGCUCAGUGUCUGCUUUUGGUGUCCCGAUGUGACAGCAUUGCUGUGAUCUCCUCCCUUCCAGAGGGACUUGGGAAAAUCCUACCCCACCUGCGGAAGCAGCAGAGCUCAGGGCAGAGGCUUUGGACCCCAUGGGCUUGGUGCCUGGAGAUCCAGCACUGUCCAAAGAGAAGGGGGCACUUUUGGGUAAGCGUCUGUUCUUUCUUUUUCUUUGGAAGCCGUCACCCCCCAACAGCAGUGACACAGGUGAAGAUCAUGUCUUCUUGCUAUGGGGUCCCUGCAGCUGGAGGACUCAGUACCUGCUGCCAGCACCCUUGGCCAGGGCCUGAAAGGAGCAGUGGACAGGUCCUCUUGAUAUAGGGGAAUGAAACUCCCAAUCUACUACGUGUCCAGUACGAGUUCAUGUUCUCUAAAAUCAAAGAGUGAAUUUUAGGAACAACAGAGGUUAAGAGUAGAAUAUAUUUAUUGAGAGAAAGAAAGCUUCUGACUGAAGAGAGACAGAAGGGGACCUGAGCAGGUUGCCAAGGACUCUGACUUUUCCAGGGACUUUUAUAGAGUAAAACCAUGGGUUCAAGGUGUGGGAAGACUGAGAACUCACAAGGCAGACAGGCAUACGGUGGGACAUAACUAUAGUUAGCCAAAAAGAUCAAUAGCUCAGGUAAAAUUGAUUACAUUAGGGACAAACGGGGAAUCAUGCAAAAAGUGGGCAUUCUUUUUUUUGGUCUUCUUCCUUUUUAUCGGUACCAGGUACCAAGUACCAGGUACCAAACUCACGACUGCCUGCUUGUAAGGCAGGCGCUUAUGCUGCUGAGCUAAAUCCCCAGCCCUAUAAAAUGGGCAUUCUUAAGCAGUGACUCUUCCCUAGGGGGUUGGAAUAGAGACUCCAGACUCCCUCAGGGUGAUAGGGAACUAAUUAGAAUAUCAGUCCUUAGGAUGUGGGUGCAUUUGUUUGAUCCUCUGUCUUGAGGCCUGGCCCACAGCAGGGGGUGUCUGUCUCCCCCACAGUGCAGUUGGUUCCUUUGAGGGCCUAGUCCUGUCUCACUGCCUAUAAUAUUUCUAACUAAUUUAGCUGCCUGCAACAGGGACCCUGUAGAUCUAUACGCCCUCCAUCUCCUCCCCAGCCUCACAGAACCUACCCCCAGGUAAGCAUCCCCAGAGUCCUGGUCUUGAGGGACCUCCUGGGAAGCCACAGAGGGAAUCCCAGGCCCGGGACUCUCAGAGCAAGAGCCCCAUCAUGUGCCUGACAGGCAGGACACCCACACUUCUCCUGGUGCCUGACCUGGGUUCCCUAGGAGUGCGCUCUGUUGGCAAAGCACAGCCAGCCAGGGCCCUGGCACCUGGCCUUGCUUGCGUCCACCUUCUGAUGGCGUCUUUUGUCGCUUGCUGUCUGUCACAUACUGUGAAGAGGAAGGGCUAGAUCACAGCAGAGCCAAGCCCUGGCCAGGCCUGUCUGGGGGUGAGACCUCUGUGGCUCCUCCUCGCAGGCUCCUGGUAAAUAGAGGAGCAGCUCCCUUUUCUCCCAGGCAGCCUAAUCACCGAGAACUUCCCUCUGGUGGGGACUGUUUAAGAGCAUAAUAGAAGGUGUGAUGUCUUGUGAGAGGCACCAGAAUCGCUAGAAAAAGGCAGCUCUGGGAUGGAAGGAGGAGGUGACAAGAUCCCAGGAAUAUUAAAGAUUAACACCACAUACUUUGUUGCCAUUUAACUCUCCGCUGAUUCAUGUUGCUGAAGCGGAAACAGAACAUUUCUUUCCCUCCCUCCUAUUUAUUCCUUCCCUUCUCUGUUCUGGGGAUUCAGUAGCUGCAGGUGUCAAAUGCCACCUCCUCAAGGGCUGAGAUGGUUUUGUAUAAUAACGCAGAGAGGAGCUGUGAGGCGAAGAAAGAAUCUGAUUCUGUUCUCUGCUAGAACAGGAGCUGGCAUGGAGGGAACGGUAUUAAAAUCACUCAAAGGAGGGGGAGACAGAGGCGGUGCCUCCCAGCAGGAGCCCACGGGGCCUCCUGAGGUGUCCCUGGGGCGCAGAGCAGCACCGUGCCUGCAGUGGAUGGGCCUGUGCCUGCAGUGGAUGGGCCCGGCCCAUCUGCUGCCGACCCCUGUGACAACGCCACCCGGACCUGCGUUCUCCGUCCAUCUCUCCACUGAGGCUGCAGGUGACACUCCAGCACGCACCUUCCCCAGGAGCGGGAGGAAAUGGCGCCCUUGGCCAGAUAGAGCCAGGAGAGGGGUGAGGGGAGCAGGCCCCCAGAGUUCCGCCACACCACACACUCAGCUACCGCUCUCCAGGCGUGGGAGAGACGGCACCAAACACAGGCGCCACCAGAAUUUCCCGGGCAUCACGGGGCUCCCUGGAACCCUGGCAGCUGGCCAGGGUCAGGUCACAAGAGGAAGCUGUUUCCCCGGUGGCUGAGGACUGGGCCCCACGGCUGCAGACACAGCUCUCUCGUUGCAGUCCUGCCGCCCUUCUGGUCUCACUGCAGCCCAGAUGCUUCGGGCCAGGAUUGUGAUGUGAGAAGACCGGCCAGGGUUGCAAAGAUGUCCCUCAGGGCAGGAAGAUCUGCCAGGACUCACACAAACCACCAAAUCCCUGAAUGGAGGUGUCCAUGUGCCUGGUCCCCGUCUGCCUGCCUGGCCAGCCGCCACAUGCCUGCUUGGGAAAUAAUUAUGGCCUUUGGGAAAUGUAAAGUGCACUGCAGUCCUGCAGAAAACACCAGCCUCUCCUGCUGCCACCUUCUUCUGCUUCCCAGUGACCCAGGGAACCGAAUUAGCAGCAGCGCCCAGUGCUGGUCCGGUGUGACGUGUGGCUCUCUGGGGAGCCCCUCAGGUGCUUGCUCGGCUGCACCUCCACAGUUCUGCAUGCCGUGCUGGCUCCUUCCAAGCAGCCAGCUAUUCGUACCUGCCUGCACUCAGACGGGGCAUGGAGGGUGGGAAGCCAUGCCACCCUCUGCCAGGGCGCCUGGAGGAUGGUGUCCCUCUGCGCAGAGCCACGCAAAGAAAGCUGGGACCCUGUGCUGAGCUGGCUGAGCAUGGCUGUGAUGCCAACAUGUCCUGGGGUACAGAGCUGCUGGCUUCUCUCUAGCUGGAUAUAGGAGGGAGGCUUGUGUAGAGACGCAGGAGGACAAGGCUGCCCCUGUCUCAGGGCCAGAGUGGAGCACUGUGCAGGAGUGAGUCACUGAGUGGCCAAGGCUGGCUCUGGUCGGUCACCUGGGAGAGGGAAGGGAAGUUUGCAAGGGCUUCCUGUGGGAUUGCCCUAUGUCCCUCAUAGCUGGUGUCACAAGUUGCAUGGUCAGCAACAGAGACUCAUUUUCUGGCUGUUGUGGGGCACACUCCUCUACCUGGUGCUAUCGAGGAGGGAUUCCUCUCCGUCACCACAUCGUGGUCCCCUGGGUGUGGCUGUGUCCUGUUCCCCUCUCAUCAGGGCUCUGGUCCACCUGGGUUAGAGCCCAUGCAUUGGGGUGCACCUGAUUGCACCCUAUACACUCUCUGAGGCCCCUUCCCUAGCAAGGCCCCUGUGAUGUGCUGGGGACACACAUGGAGGUGGGACACUUCCUGGGAGGGGAGGCGGGAUGCAGCGGAUGGAGAAUCCAGGAGACAAGGCUGGGUGUACCCAGUGCUGCUCGAAAGGAUGUGGAGUCUCUUGUGUACUGGGUGCCCUGAUAUGGAGGCGCUCACUGGUCAGAGGCUAACAUAGUGGGCACACAGGCUAUGGCAUGGGUGCAGGGAGUGGGCGAGGUCCAGGUCAGGCAGGUUGGAGGUUCCAGUACCUGGUUGUGCUUGCAGAAUUGCUGAGCAUGAUGGGCUCCAAGGCCGAAUGGACCAGGCAGAGCUCAGAACCUCGAGGCCACAGCGUAGGGCUGAGGGGGCCCCAGGUGACAGACAGGUCAUGCCCUGCAGCCGGAUGGCUAUGCACAAGUGGGCAGUUCCUUCCCCUGAGGUGUGGAUGUGUGGUCCAGGGGAGGAACACGGUGGGGAGGUGAAGGGGUUGGCUCUGCAUGGUAAGGAGAAGCAGUGUCUUAGGUGAGGCUUCCACAUUCACAUUUGUGGUUGGAACUCAGUUCUAACCCCUUUUACAUCCAGAUCUGUUUUACCCACAGUCCCCUGCUUCACGCGUGCAUCAUUCAUGGGGAGCAGAGAUGGGCCUCUGGUCUCCUGCAUUUGCUAGAAGCAGAUGGAGCGGGCUAUAUGGGCUAAGAGGAGGGGCUGCCAAGUGCAGCCAGGGCACCGGGAGUCACGCUGGGUAGGGGGAGGGUGUGCCACGCUCAGCAUCAGUGCUGAUCCAAACCCUGCAGCUAAGUUGUCCCCAGACUGAGUCUUUGGUAGACGCCUCCAGGGGAGGUCACCGAUAGAAGGUAGGCCCAGCUUUUGCUCCCAUGAUUGGGCAGCUGUGGAUUUAGUGGAGGGCAGCUGGGAAUGGUCCAGCUGGAGUCAUCAUCCCCAGGUCUUGCUAGAGUGGUCCCACCAUCCUGCUUCUGCCUCCCAGUGUGGGCUCCUUUCUCCCAGAACCAUCCCAAGGCCUGGUUCAAUGUAGGCUGGAGAAGCCUCCGGCUCUAUGACCUUGGGCCUAGGAUCUUGGCCUUCCUGGAAGUUGGGAAUGUACUUCCACCCCUGCAGGAGGUGGUGAAGGGCAAAGACUUGGUGGCCACUCACUCGGUGCUCAUUUCUCUGCCCAGCGGACUCAGAGAUGUGCCCGAGGCUGGCUCCUACCCUGUGUCCCCACCUCCUCUCGGGGAAGCCCCUCUUGCCACGAGGACCACAUGUGCCAAAUGUCUGCUUAUCUCGUGUAUCCAUUGUUCAGGGAAGGUAACUAUUCAGCUGGCAAAUGGUACACUAGAGCAGGGGAGCUGGUGUGUUAGCUCCUAUUUACCGUGACAGGUUUAAAGCCAUUCUCGGGGUGGCUGGGACUCCCAUACUGCAGCCCGGGGGACCGAGGAGACCCUCUCUGCUUACUCCUGGUGGUGCCCUCAAGCUGGUCCUAGAGCUUUGAAUUCCCUUUGUCUCCUGCGCUGUGGCCCUGGAAGCCAGGUCCUGAGCUGGGGAACAUCCCUGACCUGCAGCGUGGCCCCUUCUUCCUGUCUGUCUUCCCAGGUAUUCCCAGGCCAGAGCAACACCACCUUCGCCUCACUGGAAACACAGCCGAGGCCCCCUCAACACAGGUCAACAGGAGCAAAGGUGCUGCCUGCCUGGGGCAGACCAGGACGGGCAUCCUGGAUGGAGCCCUGUGUCUCCUCCAUCUGUGCGAGGUGGCUUUGUGCCUUUCCCACGGGUCAGGGUCCUGAGGCACGAGCAGCUGCAGCUGCGGAGAUGGAGCCCUCCUGCAUCCCAUUCCUCAGAUGAUGCAGUGGGGACACAGCCAGCUGCCUCCCUGCACUGUGGCCAGGGGUCUGCGUGGAGAGGAGUGGGAGUCUUGCACUCUGCCUCUAAAGCCCAGGACCCAGCCCCAACUUCCCAUUUCCUCCUCCUAGGGAUGCCCCUUCCUAUCCUCUGCCUUUUCUCAGAGAGCAACUUAUUAUGGAGCAGCGUGAAGGGCACCCUUAUGGUCUGGGCAUUUCUUCCAACUGAAUUACUCGCGGUGAACAGGAGAGCUUUUUAUCACCAGGAGUUCUUGCUAUGCAUGAAGCAGAGCCCAGGGUUGGGGCUGUUCCAAAGCAGGGGUGUUUAGCUGAGUGCCUGGCACCUGGCAGAGGUCAGAGGUCAUCAUGGUGGAAAUGGCCUCACUCUCUGCAGGUGGGCACCUUCCUGUCUGCCUUGGAGUGGUGAUUAUGGAACAGAAGUGUGGCAUGACAGCUGUGACCUGUCCCAGUGUGGUCCAGCAGGCCUACUGCUGGGCUGAAAAUUUCUGGCCUCUCUGUUCCAACACUACAGCUGCUGAGCGCUGGUGUGGGGAGUGAGUGAGCACUUGAACUUUUAAUGUUAAUUCAAAUGUAGACAGCACACUGGGCUAGAACUGCUGGUCAGCAGAGUGCAGGCACAGCCCUUGUUUCCUGGUGACUUACGGAGGUAAGCACGCACAUGCGAGUGCUGUGAAAGAAUUGGUUGCGAGAGUCCCCAGCCCCAUGAAGUCAGAAAUGAAACAUGGUACAAGGGACACAAAGACUUGCUGAUCCUUCCAAGGAGGUGAUGUUCAAGGACACAAACCUGCAGGUCAAUUGAGGACCAUGGUCACACUGGUGAAGUGAGGCCAGCAACCGUCUCAUUAUCAAACGAAAGGGGCAACACAACAUCGGAGCCCUCUGAAUCCAGCCCUGCAGGUGCCCCUCCACCGCUGUGGCUUGGAGACGUACCCCAAACUGUCCUCUAAAGAGCAGGCAGUGGGGGACAUUCUUAACUUUCAACUCAACAACUCCAUCCUAGGAAUGGUAUUGAAAAAUAACUUACAAAUAAA